UAACUUUCAACAACGGAUCUCUUGGCUCUCGCAUCGAUGAAGAACGCAGCGAAAUGCGAUACGUAAUGUGAAUUGCAGAAUUCAGUGAAUCAUCGAAUCUUUGAACGCACCUUGCGCCCCUUGGCAUUCCGAGGGGCACACCCGUUUGAGUGUCGUGA
rnacentral:rRNA from 1 species